CGCCCGGUGGUGAAACAGGAUCAUGUCUCUCCUACAAAGAGAUGUUGGGGGUGCAAUUCCCUCCCGGGCGACCA
rnacentral:tRNA from 1 species